AGAGUUUGAUCAUGGCUCAGAACGAACGUUAGCGGCGCGCUUAAUACAUGCAAGUCGAGCGAGAAAGGGCUUCGGCCCCAGUAAAGCGGCGCACGGGUGAGUAACACGUAGGUCAUCUACCCUCGGGUGGUGGAUAACAUCCCGAAAGGGGUGCUAAUACAGCAUAACACUGCAAGGUCAAAGCGGGCCUCUCUAUAGAAGCUCGCGCCUGAGGAUGAGCCUGCGGCCCAUCAGCUAGUUGGUAGUGUAAAAGACUACCAAGGCUAAGACGGGUAGCUGGUCUGAGAGGAUGAACAGCCACACUGGAACUGAGACACGGUCCAGACUCCUACGGGAGGCAGCAGUAGGGAAUCUUGCGCAAUGGGCGAAAGCCUGACGCAGCGACGCCGCGUGAGUGAUGAAGGCCUUCGGGUUGUAAAGCUCUGUGGGGAGAGAAGAAUAAGCGUAGGUUAAUACUCUACGUGAUGACGGUAUCUCCUUAGCAAGCACCGGCUAACUCUGUGCCAGCAGCCGCGGUAAGACAGAGGGUGCAAACGUUGUUCGGAAUCACUGGGCGUAAAGCGCGUGUAGGCGGCUUGGUAAGUCGGGUGUGAAAUCCCAGGGCUCAACCCCUGGAAGUGCAUUCGAAACUACUUCGCUAGAGUACUGGAGAGGAAGGUGGAAUGCUUGGUAGAGGUGAAAUUCGUAGAUAUCAAGCGGAACACCGGUGGCGAAGGCGGCCUUCUGGACAGAUACUGACGCUGAGAGCGAAAGCGUGGGGAGCAAACAGGAUUAGAUACCCUAGUAGUCC
rnacentral:rRNA from 1 species